rnacentral:rRNA from 1 species
UUUGAGACCGGCGCACGGGUGCGUAACGCGUAUGCAAUCUGCCUUACACUACGGGAUAGCCCAGAGAAAUUUGGAUUAAUACCGUAUAGUCUAUUGAUGUGGCCUCACAUUAUUAGUAAAGAUUUAUCGGUGUAAGAUGAGCAUGCGUCCCAUUAGCUAGUUGGUAUGGUAACGGCAUACCAAGGCAAUGAUGGGUAGGGGUCCUGAGAGGGAGAUCCCCCACACUGGUACUGAGACACGGACCAGACUCC